rnacentral:rRNA from 1 species
AGAGUUUGAUCCUGGCUCAGAACGAACGCUGGCGGCAUGGCUAAGACAUGCAAGUCGAACGGACUAUAUGAUUGAGUAAUCUUGACUAUAGUUAGUGGCGAAAGGGCGAGGAAUAAAUAGGUAACAUACCCUGAACUCCAGGAUAGCGUCUAGAUACUUCGGUAUCUUUCUGAAAGGGGCAGUAAUACUGGAUAACAUCAUUUGUUUAAUGCAGAUGAUCAAAGAUUUAUCGGUUUGAGAGCGGCCUAUUUCCUAUCAGCUUGUUGGUGAGGUAACGGCUCACCAAGGCUACGACGGGUAGCGGGACUGAGAGGUUGACCCGCCACAUUGGGACUGAGACACUGCCCAGACCCCCACGGGGGGCUGCAGUAACGAAUAUUGCACAAUGGGCGAAAGCCUGAUGCAGCAAUGCCGCGUGUAGGAUGAAGCUCCUCGGAGUGUAAACUAUUGUCAGGGGCUAGAAAGUGCGUUUCGGCGUAUUGAUCAACCCCAAAGAAGUCACGCUAAC